rnacentral:lncRNA from 1 species
ACUUUUCCCCUGCAGUUUGUCUACCUACUCUGCUAACCAGCAGCAAGUUUAUCCUUGCAAGGCAAGUGGGAUCAAGAACAACUUUCACCAGGAAAGAGUGCAAGACGAGUGGUUGAACAAAAUAAAGUUGUUUCUGUG